GGGCUGAGACUGAAGCUUCUAUUUUUGGUGGAGUCGCGUGUUUUUGCUGCUGUAGCUUUACCUCGCUCGAGUCCCCUGUAAGAACCUGUCUGAGCCGUUGCACCCCCGGGACUUCUAGCAUCACAACCAGGCUGCACCCCGGCAGAUUCCACACACAAGUACCUCACUCCCAAAGGGAAGUUCAGGAAAGCUUGAAAGGAAUGAAUCUCUAAUAAAUCAUUUCGGGCGUUCAGUUUUCGGACAGUCUCCAUAUGCCGGGCAGUGUUCAAGGACCUGUGAAAACAGCAGUGGACAAGAAAUGUGUAAUUGGUGCCCCUGUGGAGUUUACAACCUAGAGGAGCCACCGUCUGAGGCAGAUUCUAUCAUCAUCCCCGUUUUACAAGAAUGGAAACAGUCACGGCAGGUUGGAUCACCGAAGCCCGAGGUUACACGGCUGGUAAGUGGCAGAACCAGGAUGGCACACCCAGGUGGUCUGCCUCCAGGCCUUGAGCUAUGAACUGCCCCACGUACUGUACUGUCUCCUGCAGUGAACUUCCCGAGAGCCAGCAUCCUCUUCUAGAAAAGAGAAAUAUCUGGAAUACUACUUCUGGGGAGUAUUAUGAUAAUUAUACAAAUUAAUAUAAGUAAAACAAUGCCCUGCCUUAAUAAGGGCUUCCAUAAAUGGUUAUUAUGAUUAUUAUGAGCUUUUUAUGAUUCUGUCUUGGUGAGAAGGCUACCUUUGACUUGUUAGGAUCAUUAUUGUAAUAAAUUUGGUGCUCUUUUUUACUUUUUUUUCAGCAAGUAGCAUUGUUUCUGGUUCCCUCUCAGCCCCAGGGUGGGGAGAAAAACCCACCUAGCUAGACAAGGUCUGGUGGGAACUAGGUGAGACUGGGCUUGGAAUGCUGAUUUCCCUGGGCCACCCCUGCCCCCCCCCCCCCCCCCCGUGUCCUCACCUCGCUGUGUGAAGCAGCCCCACUAGAGGGUGUGCAGGUGUAAAGAACGGAGGUUCCUGCACCUCUGGACUCUGGAUUACAGGCCUGGAGGCAGACCUGGUGAGAGGGCCCCUCUAGACAGAAGGCCUCCAACUGUCAGUCAUGGGGUUGACUUCUGGAGAGUGGACUGGGACAGGGGGCCAGCCGCAGGAGGACUUUUGACUUUUCUUUUGUGCGCUGUGAUGUCUGCUGUUCUCACAGCAAGAUUGUA